rnacentral:rRNA from 1 species
UGGCGGCGUGCUAUACAUGCAAGUCGAACGAACUCUGGUAUUGAUUGGUGCUUGCAUCAUGAUUUACAUUUGAGUGAGUGGCGAACUGGUGAGUAACACGUGGGAAACCUGCCCAGAAGCGGGGGAUAACACCUGGAAACAGAUGCUAAUACCGCAUAACAACUUGGACCGCAUGGUCCGAGUUUGAAAGAUGGCUUCGGCUAUCACUUUUGGAUGGUCCCGCGGCGUAUUAGCUAGAUGGUGGGGUAACGGCUCACCAUGGCAAUGAUACGUAGCCGACCUGAGAGGGUAAUCGGCCACAUUGGGACUGAGACACGGCCCAAACUCCUACGGGAGGCAGCAGUAGGGAAUCUUCCACAAUGGACGAAAGUCUGAUGGAGCAACGCCCGCGUGAGUGAAGAAGGGUUUCGGCUCGUAAAACUCUGUUGUUAAAGAAGAACAUAUCUAAGAGUAACUGUUCAGGGUAUUGACGGUUUUUAACCCAGAAAGCCCCGGCUAAAUUACGUGGCCCACCACCCGCGGGUAAUACCUUAGGGGGCAAGCCUUGUUCCGGAAUUUUUUGGGGCGUAAAACCGAGCCCGCGGGGGGUUUUUUAAAGUCCGAAAGGGAAAAACCCUUUCGGGUUCAACCCAAGAA